AGUGAAUAUUGAAAAUGAAGCGCUUAACAAUUUUUGCUUUGGCCUUUAUUCUUCUUCUGUUCCAUGGAUGCGAUGCCCAAGCUAGAACUGAAGCAAGAAUUAAAUCAUGCCUCAAAAAAUGCCCCAAAAGUAAGUGCAAAGGAUGCUGUAGAGGCAAGGACUACACAUCUGGAUUUUGUGUCUUCAAGUUCUGUGUUUGCUGGAAAAUCGGCACAAGGGGAUAAGGUGGAUGUUAUGGUGAUGAGUGGAGUUUGAUCCAAUGGAAAUGUGUGUCAUUUGGCGACCACAUGCUGAAGAACAGAAUCACAUAUCUAUAAUAUUUUCACAAAGUG